GAAUGUAGCGAUGAACUCAACCUGAAUUCCAAGUUCUCGACACUGUAAAACUCCAAUCGAAACCUAAAUUUCCUAUCUCCUUCCUCUUCUCUCCGUCUCUUCUCUAAUCCGAGUAAUCCCUUUAUCGAUUUCUCUCAACCCAGCCGUCUCCGAGACUCCGACUCUCCAAUCUCUAUUUGCUCUGUCUCUCGCUCUUUGUUUUCGUCUCUGAUGACCGAUUCUCCAGAGGCUCCCCUCCGUCUUCGACUUUUUGCCAAGGCCUUGACUUUAGGAAGCUCUUUGGAAUCUCCUUUGAAGUUUCUUCAACCUGCUCCUGAGGAAACUAUUUGCAUUAAUGCUGGCGCUUAGAGCCCUCGAAGUCUCUCCGUAAUGUUUGCACAACAGUUGCAUUUAGGGCAAGAUAGGUGGCAGGACCAUCUUCUUCAGAGGAUGCUAUGUCAUCUUCUUCACAAUCACUCUUGGUCACAGUUAUUCUUUGCUUGUGGUAGUAAAUGGUUUUGUCUGCAUUGAAAUUUUCGUCGGCAGAUUUGCUCAUGAAAAUGUCGUAAUCAAGAAUUACGGAUGUAUGAUUCGAUUUAGUUUUUGAUUUGUUGAUGCUAUGCGAUGGUGGUAGAGCUCCUAAGUGAUUGUUUUGGGUUGUUUGCUUGUCCUACAAGUGCCAAUUGCCAAGGUGAAAGGUUGAACGCAAGCACAGCACGGCAGACGUGGAAGCUCCUGUCUUGCCCUAUGUAGAUUAUAGGGAACCCGGAACCUGUAGUAUAUCACAUGUUCCGGGUAGAGUACGAUUCCACAUUCUAAAAGGGUAGGUUCCGAUUCUUAAAUUUCGGAGUCGGUGUACCACAGGUUCCGGAUAGAGUCCAGUUUCACAUUUUAAAAGAGUAGGUUCCGAUUCUUAAGUUUUGGAACUGGUGUUUUACAGGGUAGGGUCCGAGUACCAUAAAAAAUGCAGGGUACCUGGAUCCACACGGGCCAAGUUAUUAUGUCAAAUUUAUCAUUAUGUUCUCAAUUA